AAAUUCGUUGACUCGAGCGGGAUUUGAACUCGCAUCUUCGGGUAUCUAAACCGAAGAUGCGAGUUCAAAUCCCGCUCGAGCGAACGAAUUU